CUUGGUCAUUUAGAGGAAGUAAAAGUCGUAACAAGGUCUCCGUAGGUGAACCUGCGGAGGGAUCAUUACACAAAUAUGAAGGCGGGCUGGAACCUCUCGGGGUUACAGCCUUGCUGAAUUAUUCACCCUUGUCUUUUGCGUACUUCUUGUUUCCUUGGUGGGUUCGCCCACCACUAGGACAAACAUAAACCUUUUGUAAUUGCAAUCAGCGUCAGUAACAAAUUAAUAAUUACAACUUUCAACAACGGAUCUCUUGGUUCUGGCAUCGAUGAAGAACGCAGCGAAAUGCGAUAAGUAGUGUGAAUUGCAGAAUUCAGUGAAUCAUCGAAUCUUUGAACGCACAUUGCGCCCUUUGGUAUUCCAAAGGGCAUGCCUGUUCGAGCGUCAUUUGUACCCUCAAGCUUUGCUUGGUGUUGGGCGUCUUGUCUCUAGCUUUGCUGGAGACUCGCCUUAAAGUAAUUGGCAGCCGGCCUACUGGUUUCGGAGCGCAGUACAAGUCGCACUCUCUAUCAGCAAAGGUCUAGCAUCCAUUAAGCCUUUUUUUCA
rnacentral:rRNA from 1 species